UGGGAGAGGAGGCGGCGGCGGCUACCCACUCGAUCUCUUUGGCUUCGGAAUUAGUAUUCUACCCUCACCCUCACCUCGCGUUUUAUUUUUAUUUUAUCUUUAUUUUUCUCCUCCCACCCCUCCACCAGCCUCCACACACACACACCCCUCGAAACUGGCUAGUCUAACGCGGAGGAGGAAAAGGCCUCUAUUAGGGGCUCAGGAUGGGGCGCGCGCGGGUGCGGGGAGACCAGGUCUGGAGCUGCACCGGUGGAGGAAAGAAGUGGAGAGAUCAAAGCGAUUUCUCCUCUUUUCUUUGCUGGGGGGGGGCGGGCGGCGGCGGGAGAGGGGUGGGGAAUGAUCGCCAGAGCCAGCUUGGCCGGGCUGCAAAGUAGGGAAGAAGAAUUGUCAAAAAGCCAUCUGGCCAAGGAGCAGGAGGGACGAAAGAGAGACCGUUUUAAGAGUUAUUGGAGGCUACAUUUACAUCAGNAAACAAUCUGUCCUGCUUUUNUUGAAGACUGGACCCUUCGCCACCUUCAAAGGCGUAUUAAUGCAAAAGUCCUUUUGUAUUUGAAACCUUAUAAUUCUUCUCACAUGUAUUUAAACAAUCUAUUGAAAAAUUCUGGAAGGAAGGAAGGAAGGAAGGAAGGAAGAAAGGAAGGAAGGAAGGAAGGAAGGAAGGAAGGAAGGAAGGAAGGAAGGAAGGGCAUCUACUGGAGAACCUGAAAUAACCAAGCACUUAGGACGGUUAAAAAUCAAUUGCUUUGAAGAGAGUUUUUCUUAAUUUUUGAUAAUAUUUUGCCAAUUAUCAAUCAAACUCAGAUGGAAUUAUUGGACAGAAAAUUAGAAUUGUCUAAUUAUUUUAGAAAGUUAUUUUAAAUAUUCCUCAGCUAACAGGGAUAUCUGUGUUAUGGUUGAUCCAAAAAUAACAUCAAAGAUUUAAAAAGUUGUUAAUUAAAGAUUUGUCUUGCUAUUAAUGUAUCCUUCUAUAACAUGACAUAAGAAUUGUCAACCUUGAGUGUGAAUUGUAAGCUGCAAUACCAGAAAUAUUGAUCAUAAGAAUAUUGUGAUUUAAGCACACAUGUUGCUUGAAAUGUGAAUAUUUAAUCUGUUCAUAUAUAUUUGAAACAUAACUAGUGUGCCAGAAACAUUUGAAAGAAUCAUCUAGUGGCUUUGUAUUCUGAGUUUUGUAAUGAAAAACUCAUUAAGUUCCUGCCAGUACUUUGUAUUAAGAAACCUUGUAAGGUACUUCUAAUGACUGCUGUGACAUUUAAAUUACUAUUUAUUCUUUAUUAAAUCUUGAAUAUUUAUUAUGUUGUACCCAGCAAUUUCAGUUUUGUACUAUUACCUUUUCUGAUCAAUAAAGGAAGUAAAAGAACAUUUCCA
rnacentral:lncRNA from 1 species